AUGGUCCCGGCGAACGCCCCCUGCAUCGACCACGGGCGCCGGCCAAGAACCAGCCACAAGGUGAUCGCUUCCACCCCGGAGAUGGAGAAGCAGGUCUUCCUGCUGCAGCAGCACAUAGUGGUGGUCACCGUGAUGUCCAAGCUGCACGCGGCCAGCCCCCUCUCCAUCGGUCGGGCCAUCGAGCGGGAGUUUCAGAUCCCCACGCACCUCCUCCGCGUCACCAGCCACGAUCCCGAAGAUUUCUUCGUCCAUUUCACCAUGCCGGCGCACAAAGAUCUCGCCGUCCAUCGCGGCUCAAUCACUGUGGACGGUGUCAACUUCCUCCUGGAGCCGUGGAGGUAGGACACGCACGCGAUCCAUGACACAUGGAUGCUCCCCGUCUGUGUCGUCAUGGAGAAGCUGCCCAUGCAGCUGUGGACCCUGGAGGGCGCGAAGGAGGCGUUGGGCGACAAGGUGAUCAUCGACCGCCUCGACAGCCGCACUUUCAAGCGUGCGGACAAGAAGCUCUUCGCCGUCUGGGUGUGGGUGUGGCAGCUCCACCACAUCCCCACCAAGAGGACGUUUUGGAAGCGCGCGCGGGGGGCCGGUAGGGUGGAGGAGAUGAUGGGCUUCUCGCCGCCGAGCAGGGUGGUCGCGCCGCCCCCUGACAUGCUACGCUGGGACGUCCUGGUGCACAUCGACCGAGUUGAAGACUGGACGCCGUUCUCCCCCCGCUCCUCGCACUCCGGACAAAGAGGGCUCCCCUCCUCCAACGACGACGACCGCCCGUACCCGAGCUUCCCACAUGCGGGAGGCUGGGUGGCAGGCAUGGAGGACGGCAGGCCAUCGCAGGACUCGGGGCCGCGCCUGCGCCCUCCCGCGCAGGUGGCGUCCUCGGGCUGCAAGGGCAUGCCCUCGGCUGGCCACAGGCGCAGCCACGACAGCGACGAUAGCCAGAGGAGGUCCUGGAAGGACACACUGCUGGGUCGGGGCCGUGGCAAGGAGCCAGCCGCGCCCCCGGCCACGAAAUGCCACCGCAGUCGCACGCCCACCUCGCGGCACAGCCGGAGCCGCCCCCGCGAAGGACGUUAG
rnacentral:rRNA from 1 species